GGCGGCACUUGGGUGAUGCAUUCCGGAAUCGGGCUCCCUCCUCUCUGGUUCUGGGUGCAUCCCCCGAGAACCACA
rfam:Myotis davidii contig1655, whole genome shotgun sequence.